rnacentral:rRNA from 1 species
GAGUCCCUACGGGGCGCAGCAGUGGGGAAUAUUGCACAAUGGGGGAAACCCUGAUGCAGCGACGCCGCGUGAGUGAAGAAGUAUCUCGGUAUGUAAAGCUCUAUCAGCAGGAAAGAUAAUGACGGUACCUGACUAAGAAGCCCCGGCUAACUACGUGCCAGCAGCCGCGGUAAUACGUAGGGGGCAAGCGUUAUCCGGAUUUACUGGGUGUAAAGGGAGCGUAGACGGCAGCGCAAGUCUGGAGUGAAAUGCCGGGGCCCAACCCCGGGACUGCUCUGGAAACUAUUGAACUUGAGUGCAGGAGG